AUUGAACGCUGGCGGCAUGCCUUACACAUGCAAGUCGAACGGCAGCACGGGUGCUUGCACCUGGUGGCGAGUGGCGAACGGGUGAGUAAUAUAUCGGAACGUACCUUAUUGUGGGGGAUAACGCAGCGAAAGCUGUGCUAAUACCGCAUAAUCCCUAAGGGGGAAAGCGGGGGACCGUAAGGCCUCGCGCAAUUAGAGCGGCCGAUACCUGAUUAGAUAGUUGGUGAGGUAAAGGCUCACCAAGGCAACGAUCAGUGGCGGGUCUGAGAGGACGAUCAGCCACACUGGGACUGAGACACGCCCCAGACUCCUACGGGAGGCAGCAGUGGGGAAUUUUGGACAAUGGGGCAACCCUGAUCCAGCAAUGCCGCGUGAGUGAAGAAGGCCUUCGGGUUGUAAAGCUCUUUUGUCAGGGAAGAAACAGCAGCUCUAACACAGUUUGCGAAUGACGGUACCUGAAGAAUAAGCACCGGCUAACUACGUGCCAGCAGCCGCCGUAA
rnacentral:rRNA from 1 species